rnacentral:lncRNA from 10 species
GGAAGGUCAUGAUAUUUAACAUCCAGACCAUUCCAACUGAUGAGUCCAAGUUCCAGGUGUUCUUGACCUCAAGUCUAUGGAUAGGAUUCAAGGGCUUAUGCAUAUAGUUAACUUACUGCUAGCCAUCUUGGUAUAGAAUUGGCUCUAGAAUCCUGCCUGCUGUGCCAACAUAUCCAGCAUUGUGACACAAAGACGCUAUGCCAUUUUUCAUCCCCACCAGUAGUAUAUGAACCAUCCAGUUUCUCUACAUCCUUGUCAGCAUUUGCCAGUGUUUGGUGAUGUCACUGUUUUUUAUUACCAUUCUGAGGAAGCUGAGACUGGAGAAUUGCUUGAGCCCAGGAGUUGGAGGCUGCAGUGAGCUGUGAUCACGCCACUGCAUUCCAGCGUGGGUGACAGAGCAAGAUCCCAUCUCAAAAAAAAAAAAAAAAGCAACCAGGUUGCUAGAUAUCUUGUGAGAGCAGAGGGAGAGAAUCCUUUUGUAAGCUUGAAUGAAUAGUAGUAUGUUGAUCUAUGGUUUCUUUGCAAGAAUUUUUUUUUUUUUUUUUUUUUGAGACGGAGUCUCGCUCAGUCGCCCAGGCUGGAGUGCAGUGGCACGAUCUCGGCUCACUGCAAGCUCCGCCUCCCGGGUUCACGCCAUUCUCCUGCCUCAGCCUCCCAAGUAGGUGGGACUACAGGCGCCCGCCACUACGCCCGGCUAAUUUUUUUUGU